AGCAAUGCGACGAUGGAGAUUUAGUAGCGCGCUCUGUGCGGCAUUCAGAGAACCGGUGGCAGGUGCGAACCGGCUGCGGCAGGCGAGGCGAAAUACGCUCCGGAGCAGGGGAAGGGAACGGCCGCAUGCGAGGGCGCAGGCACCCGCAUGGCCUCGGUUCAGUAGCUUCCGCACGGCUCGCCUCCGUUAUCGGGCUCCGAGCGAAAACGUUCGCCGUCCCUCUACUACAUUCGGGCCGCAGCGUUUUAAUUAGGGUGGUACCGCGAGAACAAAGCCUUCUCGUCCCUUGG
rnacentral:ncRNA from 1 species